AAUCCGUGUUGUGGGUACCUAUGCAAAAGAUCAUUGAAGCACUCCCAUGUCUCAAACAAUAACUCUAGCUCCAUCUGUACAAAUGAUGAAAUCUCAUUGUGAAGCUU